AUUUAUAGUUAGCUCAGUUGGUUAGAGCGUGGUGCUAAUAACGCCAAGGUCGCGAGUUCGACCCUCGUAGUGAUCA